rnacentral:rRNA from 1 species
UUAAAUUGAAGAGUUUGAUCAUGGCUCAGAUUGAACGCUGGCGGCAGGCCUAACACAUGCAAGUCGAACGGUAACAGGAAGCAGCUUGCUGCUUUGCUGACGAGUGGCGGACGGGUGAGUAAUGUCUGGGAAMCUGCCSGAUGGAGGGGGRUWRMUCCUGGG